UCUGCUCCUAGAGGCAUUGCAGACUGCUGUGCCACAGGUGAACCAGUAAGUUACAGUGAACAGAGAAGCUGUGUUUAUACUCAGCGUUAUGAACUAUGGCCAUCUGAAUGAUUAGUAGCCUAACUCU